rnacentral:rRNA from 1 species
UACGUAGGGGCAAGCGUUGUCCGGAUUAUUGGGCGUAAAGAGCGUGUAGGCGGCUAGACAGGUCUGCUGUGAAAACUCGAGGCUCAACCUCGAGACGCCGGUGGAAACCGUUUGGCUAGAGUCCGGAAGAGGAGAGUGGAAUUCCUGGUGUAGCGGUGAAUGACGCAGAUAUCAGGAGGAACACCUAUUGCGAAGGCAGCUCGCUGGACGUAACUGACGCUGAGACGCGAAGCGUGGGAGCAACAGG